rnacentral:tRNA from 1 species
GGCGUAGCUUAGCCUGGUAGAGCGCCUGGUUUGGGACCAGGAGGUCGAAGGUUCGAAUCCUUUCGC